rnacentral:rRNA from 1 species
CCUACGGGUGGCAGCAGUGUGGAAUAUUGGUCAAUGGACGAGAGUCUGAUCCAGCCACGUAGCGUGAAGGAUGACUGCCCUAUGGGUUGUAAACUUCUUUUAUAAAGGAAUAAAACGAGGAACGUGUGCCUUUUUGCAUGUACUUUAUGAAUAAGGAUAGGCUAACCCCGUGACAGCAGACGCGGUAAUACGGAGGAUCCGAGCGUUAUCCGGAUUUAUUGGGUUUAAAGGGUGCGUAGGCGGAUCGUUAAGUCAGUGGUCAAAUUGAGGGGCUCAACCCCUUCCCGCCAUUGAAACUGGCGUUCUUGAGUUGAAGAGAGGUAUGCGGAAUGCGAUGUGUAGCGGUGAAAUGCAUAGAUAUCACGCAGAACCCCGAUUGCGAAGGCAGCAUUCCGGCUUCCUACUGACGCUGAGGCACGAAAGCGUGGGGAUCGAACAGGAUUAGAUACCCUUGUAGUC